GAUGAACGCUGGCGGCGUGCUUAACACAUGCAAGUCGAACGGAAAGGCCUCUGCUUGCAGGGGUUCUCGAGUGGCGAACGGGUGAGUAACACGUGGGUAAUCUUCCCUGCACUUCGGGAAAAGCCUGGGAAACUGGGUCUAAUACCGGAUAGGACAAUGGUUUGGAUGCUGUUGUGGAAAGUUUUUCGGUGUGGGAUGAGCUCGCGGCCUAUCAGGUUGUUGGUGGGGUAAUGGCCUACCAAGGCGUCGACGGGUAGCCGGCCUGAGAGGGUGUACGGCCACAUUGGGCCUGUGAUGCGGGCCACAGUCGGAAGGGAGGGAGAAGUGGGGAAUAUCUGACAAUGGGAGGAAGCCUGAUGGAGGGAGGCCGCGUGGGGGUUGAGCGCCUUCGGGUUGUAAACACCCUUCGCUACUAACGAAGCGUUUUUAUGACGGUACCUGGAGAAGAAGCACCGGCUAACUACGUG
rnacentral:rRNA from 1 species